UACGGAGGUAGCUAGCGUUGUUCGGAAUUACUGGGCGUAAAGCGCACGUAGGCGGCUUUGUAAGUUAGAGGUGAAAGCCCGGGGCUCAACCCCGGAAUUGCCUUUAAGACUGCAUCGCUUGAAUCCGGGAGAGGUGAGUGGAAUUCCGAGUGUAGAGGUGAAAUUCGUAGAUAUUCGGAAGAACACCAGUGGCGAAGGCGGCUCACUGGACCGGUAUUGACGCUGAGGUGCGAAAGCGUGGGGAGCAAACAGG
rnacentral:rRNA from 1 species